GAUGAACGCUGGCGGCAGGCCUAACACAUGCAAGUCGAGCGGUAACACAGAGAGCUUGCUCUCGGGUGACGAGCGGCGGACGGGUGAGUAAUGUCUGGGAAACUGCCUGAUGGAGGGGGAUAACUACUGGAAACGGUAGCUAAUACCGCAUAACGUCGCAAGACCAAAGAGGGGGACCUUCGGGCCUCUUGCCAUCAGAUGUGCCCGGAUGGGAUUAGCUAGUAGGUGGGGUAACGGCUCACCUAGGCGACGAUCCCUAGCUGGUCUGAGAGGAUGACCAGCCACACUGGAACUGAGACACGGUCCAGACUCCUACGGGAGGCAGCAGUGGGGAAUAUUGCACAAUGGGCGCAAGCCUGAUGCAGCCAUGCCGCGUGUAUGAAGAAGGCCUUCGGGUUGUAAAGUACUUUCAGCGGGGAGGAAGGCGAUAAGGUUAAUAACCUUGUCGAUUGACGUUACCCGCAGAAGAAGCACCGGCUAACUCCGUGCCAGCCGCCGCCGUAA
rnacentral:rRNA from 1 species